rnacentral:rRNA from 1 species
AUUGAACGCUCGCUGUGUGCCUAAUACAUGCAUGUUGAACGGGAUGUAGCAAUACAUUCAGUAGCGAAUGGGUGAGUAACACGUACCUAACCUACCUUUAAGACUGGGAUAACUAUUGGAAACAAUAGCUAAUACCGGAUAUAGUUAUUUAUCGCAUGAUGAGUAAUAGAAAGGAGCUUCACAGCUUCACUUAAAAAUGGGGGUGCGGAACAUUAGUUAGUUGGUAGGGUAAUGGCCUACCAAGACGAUGAUGUUUAGCCGGGCCGAGAGGCUGUACGGCCACACUGGGACUGAGAUACGGCCCAGACUCCUACGGGAGGCAGCAGUAAGGAAUUUUCCACAAUGAGCGAAAGCUUGAUGGAGCGACACAGCGUGCAGGAUGAAGUUCUUCGGAAUGUAAACUGCUGUUAUAAGGGAAGAAAAAAUAGAAUAGGAAAUGAUUUUAUCCUGACGGUACCUUAUUAGAAAGCGACGGCAAACUAUGUGCCAGCAGCUGCGGUAAUACAUAGGUCGCAAGCGUUAUCCGGAAUUAUUGGGCGUAAAGCGUCCGUAGGUUUUUUGCUAAGUCUGGAGUUAAAUGCUGAAGCUCAACUUCAGUCCGCUUUGGAUACUGGCAAAAUAGAAUUAUAAAGAGGUUAGCGGAAUUCCUAGUGAAGCGGUGGAAUGCGUAGAUAUUAGGAAGAACACCAAUAGGCGAAGGCAGCUAACUGGUUAUAUAUUGACACUAAGGGACGAAAGCGUGGGGAGCAAACAGG